rnacentral:rRNA from 1 species
UACGUAGGGUGCAAGCGUUGUCCGGAGUUACUGGGCGUAAAGCGCACGCAGGCGGUCGCAUCAGUCUGGGGGUGACAGUUCCCGGCUUAACCGGAAAAGGACUCUGGAAACUGUGCGACUUUGAGGGCUUCAGAGGGAUGUGGAAUCCAGGUGGAGUGGUGAAAUGCGUAGAGAUCUGGAAGAACACCAAAGGCGAAAGCAGGCAGGCUGGGGAUGCACCGACGCUGAGACACGGAAAGCCAGGGGAGCGAACGGG